GAAUUCGCCCUUAGAGUUUGAUCCUGGCUCAGGACGAACGCUGGCGGCGCGCCUAACACAUGCAAGUCGAACGAGCGAGAGAGAGCUUGCUUUCUCGAGCGAGUGGCGAACGGGUGAGUAACGCGUGAGGAACCUGCCUCAAAGAGGGGGACAACAGUUGGAAACGACUGCUAAUACCGCAUAAGCCCACAGGUCGGCAUCGACCAGAGGGAAAAGGAGCAAUCCGCUUUGAGAUGGCCUCGCGUCCGAUUAGCUAGUUGGUGAGGUAACGGCCCACCAAGGCAACGAUCGGUAGCCGGACUGAGAGGUUGAACGGCCACAUUGGGACUGAGACACGGCCCAGACUCCUACGGGAGGCAGCAGUGGGGAAUAUUGCACAAUGGGGGAAACCCUGAUGCAGCGACGCCGCGUGGAGGAAGAAGGUCUUCGGAUUGUAAACUCCUGUUGUUGAGGAAGAUAAUGACGGUACUCAACAAGGAAGUGACGGCUAACUACGUGCCAGCAGCCGCGGUAAAACGUAGGUCACAAGCGUUGUCCGGAAUUACUGGGUGUAAAGGGAGCGCAGGCGGGAAGACAAGUUGGAAGUGAAAUCUAUGGGCUCAACCCAUAAACUGCUUUCAAAACUGUUUUUCUUGAGUAGUGCAGAGGUAGGCGGAAUUCCCGGUGUAGCGGUGGAAUGCGUAGAUAUCGGGAGGAACACCAGUGGCGAAGGCGGCCUACUGGGCACCAACUGACGCUGAGGCUCGAAAGUGUGGGUAGCAAACAGGAUUAGAUACCCUGGUAGUCCACACCGUAAACGAUGAUUA
rnacentral:rRNA from 1 species